rnacentral:rRNA from 1 species
UACGGGGGGGGCAAGCGUUGUUCGGAAUUACUGGGCGUAAAGGGCUCGUAGGUGGUCAACUAAGUCGGACGUGAAAUCCCUCGGCUUAACCGGGGAACUGCAUCUGAUACUGGAUGGCUUGAGUUUGGGAGAGGGAUGCGGAAUUCCAGGUGUAGCGGUGAAAUGCGUAGAUAUCUGGAGGAACACCGGUGGCGAAGGCGGCUAUCUGGACAGAGUCUGACGCUGAGGCGCGAAAGCUAGGGGAGCAAACAGG